rnacentral:rRNA from 1 species
CCUCGGGUGGCUGCAGUGGGGAAUAUUGGACAAUGGGCGAAAGCCUGAUCCAGCCAUGCCGCGUGUGUGAAGAAGGCCUUCGGGUUGUAAAGCACUUUCAGUGGGGAAGAAAGCCUUGGGGCUAAUACCCUCGAGGAAGGACAUCACCCACAGAAGAAGCACCGGCUAACUCCGUGCCAGCAGCCGCGGUAAUACGGAGGGUGCGAGCGUUAAUCGGAAUUACUGGGCGUAAAGCGCGCGUAGGCGGUCUGAUAAGCCGGUUGUGAAAGCCCCGGGCUCAACCUGGGAACGGCAUCCGGAACUGUCAGGCUAGAGUGCAGGAGAGGAAGGUAGAAUUCCCGGUGUAGCGGUGAAAUGCGUAGAGAUCGGGAGGAAUACCAGUGGCGAAGGCGGCCUUCUGGACUGACACUGACGCUGAGGUGCGAAAGCGUGGGUAGCAAACAGGAUUAGAUACCCGAGUAGUC